AGGUUCUGCAAGCCUGGAGAACAGGAAGUUCUUCAGCAUCAGUCCCAGAGGUUCCUGCUCAUUUCACAGCUCCCAUUUCAUCACUGCUGCUAAAGAUCAGAAGGUCUGUCCCAGUCUCCUCCACCCUUUGAGUGAAAAAGGUAUGCAGCAGAAGAUACACUGCAGACUCAGGUACUGCAAAGAACAAGAUGCAAAAAGCCACAGCAGAAAUGGAUGAAGACAGACACCUGCACUGCACGGAGGAGUGCGGGUUCCUUUUGAAAGGAAAGAAACCCUGAUCUGUUACAUUAUAAUGACGCCUAAUAAAUCAUUGUCUCAGCCUUUG